UACGUAGGGUGCAAGCGUUAAUCGGAAUUACUGGGCGUAAAGCGUGCGCAGGCGGUUUUGUAAGUCUGACGUGAAAUCCCCGGGCUCAACCUGGGAAUUGCGUUGGAGACUGCAAGGCUGGAGUCUGGCAGAGGGGGGUGGAAUUCCACGUGUAGCAGUGAAAUGCGUAGAGAUGUGGAGGAACACCGAUGGCGAAGGCAGCCCCCUGGGAUGAUACUGACGCUCAUGCACGAAAGCGUGGGGAGCAAACAGG
rnacentral:rRNA from 1 species